GACGAACGCUGGCGGCGUGCCUAAUACAUGCAAGUCGAACGCAGUGGGGACGGGUGAGUAACACGUGGGUAACCUCCCAUCAGAGGGGAUAACACUUGGAAACAGGUGCUAAACCGAUACUGAUGGAUGGACCAGCGGUGCAUUAGCUAGUUGGUGAGGUAACGGCUCACCAAGGCCACGAUGCAUAGCUGACGUGUGAGGGGGAUCGGCCAGACUGGGACUGAGAGACGGCCCAGACUCCUACGGGAGGCAGCAGUAGGGAAUGUUCGGCAAUGGACGAAAGUCUGACCGAGCAACGCCGCGUGAGUGAAGAAGGUUUUCGGAUCGUAAAGAUCUGUUGUUAAGGAAGCGGUACUUAACCAGAAAGGGACGGCUAACUCAGUGCCAGCAGCCGCGGUAAUUC
rnacentral:rRNA from 1 species